rnacentral:lncRNA from 1 species
UAUUAAAAAAUUAAUUUUAAUUAUUUAAAACUAAUUCAAAAUUAAAAAUCGAAGAAAAAAAAAAGGACUCCAUCUUAGAUGGCGGAUCCCAACUGGGCUUCUGGGGCAUCCGCCAUCCAAGAUGGAGGGUGCAAAAAAAUUAAUUAAAAAGCCCACUAGAUGACAAAAAAAUGGCAUUUGGGAAAAAAAUUUCAGCAUAUGGUAUUUUGGGAAAUUCAUUUAAGUAAUGUCACACUUUGCUCAAAAACUCACCUAACUACAUGAUCUCAAAAUACAGUGAAAACUA